rnacentral:lncRNA from 13 species
GAGAGUCAGGAGGCCCAGUGUUCUCCACCUCCAUAAAGAGCAAUACCAUCUACCCAGUGGAUCAAGAGACAGUGAAUCAAGAGACACCAAGUUCAGCCAUUGUAAGUCGCUCAGCUUUUUAUUGAACUCCCCUGGAACCCUGAGGGCUAGAAAAUGUUGUCUUCUCAUCUCUCUUACUAAUUGAGCCUGCCAAUAGUUAAAAUUUUAUCUUCCAUGGGUUUUGGGUUGUUGAUUCGAGUUCCUUCUAGAGCCAGGUGCAGUGACUCACACCUAUAAUCCCAGCACUUUAGGAGGCCGAGGUGAGAGGACCGCUUGAACCCAUGGCCCAUGCCUGUGGUCCCAGCCAAUCAGGAGGCCAAGGGGAGAGGAUCGUUUGAGCCUGGGAAGUCAAGGCUGUAGUAGGAUGAGAUCAUGCCACUACACUCCAGUCUGGGUGACAGAUUGAGACCCUCUAGCAAAAAAUAAAAAAUAAAAAUAAAAGGCUCCUUUCA